rnacentral:rRNA from 1 species
UGCCAGCCGCCGCGGUAAUACGGAGACCUCGAGCGUUACUCGGAUUUACUGGGCGUAAAGGGUGCGAAGGCGGCAAAGUAUGUCAGGUGUGAAAGCCCGGGGCUCAACCCCGGAAGUGCAUUGGAAACUGGCGAACUUGAGUACGGGAGAGGAAAGUGGAAUUCCGAGUGUAGGGGUGAAAUCCGUAGAUAUUCGGAGGAACACCAGUGGCGAAGGCGGCUUUCUGGACCGAUACUGACGCUGAGACGCGAAAGCGUGGGGAGCAAACAGGAUUAGAUA